rnacentral:lncRNA from 1 species
ACUCCCAAGGAAAGUGACGCCUGAGAGAAAGAGCCAUUUGUUUGUCUUUUUAAUUUCAGCUUCUUCCUAAAUAAGACAGCCUUUUAGAAAGACUUUCACAGUGUCAGGUUAGUUACCUAAAUCUUAGGUAACUUUAGGUUAGUUACCUAAAGUCACUCUGUGACUUCAUCCUGAUAUAAAGGAACAAGGAAGAGAGUCGGAUUAGGCUAACUCACUAUGAUGGGGUAACACAUAGAAAAGGCACGGAGAAGUUAAGUGAUUUGCCUGUGGUCACAAAGCCUGUUAGCAGCAAACCCAGAACAAGAACCUAAGAUUUAUGACCGCCAGUUCCAGCUGUUUUUCUUCGUCAUGUAUCCUCAGCAAUCAACAUAAUCAAAAUCUGUUUGGAGACUACUGAUUUGUAUAAAGGAAGAUAACACCGAACAACCAAACAGGAAGUAAUCCAGCGAAUCUGGAACAGCGGUGGAAUUUAGAAGCAAGGCCAGAUGAGGACCCUAAGACCUAGAGAAACUAAGUCAUUUGCUCAAGAAGACAAAGGGCUCUGAAGUAAUUGGUCAGUGCUCUGAAGUAAUUAAAAUCACUGUGAAGCUGAAUGAAAAAUCAGAAGAAGAAUCAAGAGACCUAUGUUUUGCUUGUUAGGAGAACUGUGUAUCCUUUAUGUCUAUUUUUGGAGUUGGUGGUAAUUUCUGGUCAAGGAAUCAAAUGUUCUUAUUCCUAACCAUAUAGUCAGAUAAGAUGGCUAAGGUGCUUUCAUAAUCACCAUUGAUUCACUGUCAGAUGGGCCCGUGCUCUGUGACAACUUUUCAAUAUUAUAGACUUUACCAAAUAAAAAGGUAUCUCCUCAUUCUGUGCACAGAAAAAGAAAAUGAUGGAUGAGUAUAUUAGCCAGAACCCUGUCGCAGAAAAAUAAGCAUGAGUGUGCCCUUUCAUGCCUCCUGAGAACUCCUGUGCUAGACAGAGCCUGUUCAAGAUGUCUUUUCUGACUUUCUGAUUCCAGUUGACAUCUAGGCAUAUAAGGCAACUUUGUGAUGGGGCCAGAGAGCACCACACAUUGUUGUGUAUGAAAUACUCUAUUCAGCAAACAAGCCGUGCAGCAACAAGACCUAGUGUGGUCAAGGAUGGUGGACUAAAAACCACUAUGAAAGCAGAGAUGUAGCCACCUCUGAGACUGGUUUUCUAAGCAGGAUGACUUGGUUCCAUCCCUACAGAAUUGGCUGCCAUAACUCAGUGUUCCCGGGACCUGCAGUGGGCAGAGCACCAGCACAACCCGUAGAAAGCAGCUCCAAGAUCAGCACCCUCUCAUAAACCUACCGAGCCAGGAGCAUCUUCCAGGCCCUCCACUCUCAGGAGUUUCAAGGAGAAAACAAAAUGCUGAGGACUGGGAAUGAGAAGCUUCAACCUUGCACAAUCUCUACAUUUUGCUUUACUCCCAAGAGGGACGAAUGAAGAAUGUUGUUAUUGAUGCUAUGACCACUUCUCUCCCAUAUUGUGCCCAGUAAACAUGGUCUUACUCAUUAUUGAAAUACUAGCAUUCUUCUAUAAUGGUUCGUACACAGCUGCUGCCCAGAGCACUGAAUAACACAUACUACCAGGUGUCAAACCCAGAUUUCCCCAGUCUCUCCUUAAUUUCCAGCAAUAAAAAGAUUAGCCUGGCACAGCAGGUCUUCAGACCCUUUCUGAUUUUGAAUAGUGAUUUGAACACCUCUCCUAGCUGUGUCCCCUUUGGGUUUAAGAAUAAGAUAGAAGAUAUAUUGCUUUCCAUUUUAAAAUGUUUAACUUCUAUUCAAGAAUAAAUAUUGAUGAAGGGCAUCUAGGUACUAGUGAUUUUUCCUGAUGUCCAUUUUGUGAACUUCACAGAAGACUUUGAUUUCACCUUAAACCAAAGAAAACGUUCACAGAUAUCUUAUAAAUCUACUAUUUUUCAUGAUUAUAAUAACCUGUCAUCAUGACAAGCCAUGUUCAUUAACAAAAGAAAUCAUAGGGGCAGCU